rnacentral:rRNA from 1 species
AUUGAACGCUGGCGGCAGGCCUAACACAUGCAAGUCGAGCGGGGUGAUGGUGCUUGCACUAUCACUUAGCGGCGGACGGGUGAGUAAUGCUUAGGAAUCUGCCUAUUAGUGGGGGACAACAUCUCGAAAGGGAUGCUAAUACCGCAUACGUCCUACGGGAGAAAGCAGGGGAUCACUUGUGACCUUGCGCUAAUAGAUGAGCCUAAGUCGGAUUAGCUAGUUGGUGGGGUAAAGGCCUACCAAGGCGACGAUCUGUAGCGGGUCUGAGAGGAUGAUCCGCCACACUGGGACUGAGACACGGCCCAGACUCCUACGGGAGGCAGCAGUGGGGAAUAUUGGACAAUGGGGGGAACCCUGAUCCAGUCAUGCCGCGUGUGUGAAGAAGGCCUUAUGGUUGUAAAGCACUUUAAGCGAGGAGGAGGCUCUUUUGGUUAAUACCCAAGAUGAGUGGACGUUACUCGCAGAAUAAGCACCGGCUAACUCUGUGCCAGCAGCCGCGGUAA